GGAUGAAUAUUGGUCAAUGGGCGGGAGCCUGAACCAGCCAAGCCGCGUGAGGGAAGAAGGCCCUAUGGGUCGUAAACCUCUUUUGUCAGGGAACAAAAGCGAGUAUGUAUACUAGUCUGAGUGUACCUGAAGAAAAACGCAUCGGCUAACUCCGUGCCAGCAGCCGCGGUAAUACGGAGGAUGCGAGCGUUAUCCGGAUUUAUUGGGUUUAAAGGGUGCGUAGGCGGCGAUGCAAGUCAGCGGUAAAAGCCCGGGGCUCAACCCCGGCGAGCCGUUGAAACUGCAGUGCUAGAGAAGGCGAGAGGUACGCGGAAUGCGCAGUGUAGCGGUGAAAUGCUUAGAUAUUGCGCAGAACUCCGAUUGCGAAGGCAGCGUACUGGCGCCUGACUGACGCUGAGGCACGAAAGCGUGGGGAUCGAACAGGAUUAGAUACC
rnacentral:rRNA from 1 species